rnacentral:piRNA from 1 species
UCCUAUGACCUGACUGAAGUUUACCAUAA